rnacentral:rRNA from 1 species
AGCGAACGCUGGCGGCAGGCCUAACACAUGCAAGUCGAACGAACCUUUCGGGGUUAGUGGCGGACGGGUGAGUAACACGUGGGAACGUGCCUUUAGGUUCGGAAUAACUCAGGGAAACUUGUGCUAAUACCGAAUGUGCCCUUCGGGGGAAGAUUUAUCGCCUUUAGAGCGGCCCGCGUCUGAUUAGCUAGUUGGUUGAGGUAAUGGCUCACCAAGGCGACGAUCAGUAGCUGGUCUGAGAGGAUGAUCAGCCACAUUGGGACUGAGACACGGCCCAAACUCCUACGGGAGGCAGCAGUGGGGAAUCUUGCGCAAUGGGCGAAAGCCUGACGCAGCCAUGCCGCGUGAAUGAUGAAGGUCUUAGGAUUGUAAAAUUCUUUCACCGGGGACGAUAAUGACGGUACCCGGAGAAGAAGCCCCGGCUAACUUCGUG